rnacentral:rRNA from 1 species
UACGAAGGGAUCUAGCGUUGUUCGGAUUUACUGGGCGUAAAGGGCGCGUAGGCGGUUAUGUAAGUAAGAUGUGAAAGCCCUGGGCUUAACCCGGGAACUGCAUUUUAAACUGCAUAGCUUGAGUGUUGGAGAGGUAAGUAGAAUUCCCAGUGUAGAGGUGAAAUUCGUAGAUAUUGGGAAGAAUACCAGUGGCGAAGGCGACUUACUGGACAACAACUGACGCUGAGGCGCGAAAGCGUGGGGAGCAAACAGGAUUAGAUACCCCAGUAGU